UGGGGAAUAUUGCACAAUGGGCGCAAGCCUGAUGCAGCGACGCCGCGUGAGGGAUGGAGGCCUUCGGGUUGUAAACCUCUUUCGCCAGUGAAGCAGGCCAUCUUCUUUGUGGGGGGGUUGACGGUAGCUGGAUAAGAAGCGCCGGCUAACUACGUGCCAGCAGCCGCGGUAAUACGUAGGGCGCGAGCGUGGUCCGGAAGUAUUGGGCGUAAAGAGCUCGUAGGCGGCUGGUCGCGUCUGUCGUGAAAUCCCCUGGCUUAACUGGGGGCUUGCGGUGGGUACGGGCCGGCUUGAGUGCGGUAGUGGAGACUGGAAUUCCUGGUGUAGCGGUGGAAUGCGCAGAUAUCAGGAGGAACACCGGUGGCGAAGGCGGGUCUCUGGGCCGUUACUGACGCUGAGGAGCGAAAGCGUGGGGAGCGAACAGG
rnacentral:rRNA from 1 species